UAUUUCUAAGUAUUUUAUUUUUCCCUAGCUUUAUUGAAGCAUAAUUGACAAACAAGAAUUAUAUAUAUUCAAGUUGUACAACAUGAUUUUUAAAAUGCAUAUAUAGUGAAAUGAUUACCACAAUCAAGCUAAUUAACAUAUCUAUGACACAUAGUUAAUAUUUUUGUGUGUGGUGAGAAUACUUAAGAUCUAUUCUCUUAGUAAAUUUCAAGUAUACCAAUAGUUGCCAUCCUGUUGUAAGCCCAAAUCACUUUGGCUUAGUGAUUUUGGGGACCUGAGAUUAUUUUUCCUUUCACACUGUACAUUAGGUUUCCAGAACUUAUUCACCUUAUAACUGCAAGUUGGUAAACUUUUACCAACGUCUCCCCAUUUCCCCUAACCAUGACUCCUAGUAACCACUAAAAAAAAAAAAAAAAAAAAAAAAAAAAUCCAACAACUUUAGACAAACUAAAUUUAGAAGAGUUUAUUUGAGCAAAAAAUAAUUUACAAAUUUGGCAGCACUCAGAACCAGGAGAGGGUCAGAAAGCUCCACCCAGGAGUGUGCGCAGCAAGCCUUUAUGUGCCAGACACAGAAGAAGAAAAAUCACCUGAUUGGCUACAGCUAGGCAUUUGCCUUAUUUGGGCAUGGUGUGAUGAGCUGGCUGCUUGUGAUUGGGUGAACCCAAUACCUUUCAACAUACACUAACCAGAAUAACCUCUCUCCCUUCUAAACAAUCCCUUUCCAGCACUUGUCAAAUUUCAGUAAGAUGAUAGACAGAGAAAACAAUAAGGAGACAUAAGUGGUUAAAAUUUAAAAGAAAAAAAGCAAGCAGCACUUACCUGCAUAUUAUGUCACUUGGGUCCUGGAAAAAAACAGAACACGGACACUGUCAUAAAAAUAGUUCUCAGGAGCCAUCAUCAUUCUCUACUGUGGGAUCAUUGAGAAAUGGGUAUAC
rnacentral:lncRNA from 1 species